rnacentral:rRNA from 1 species
ACGGAGAGUUUGAUCCUGGCUCAGGAUGAACGCUAGCGGCAGGCCUAAUACAUGCAAGUCGAACGAGAUUUAGAACUUCGGUUUUAAUGAAAGUGGCGCACGGGUGCGUAACGCGUAUGCAACCUACCUUUUACAGGGGGAUAGCCCGGGGAAACUCGGAUUAAUACCCCAUGGUAUCAUAAGAUCGCAUGAUUUAAUGAUUAAAGAUUUAUCGGUAAAAGAUGGGCAUGCGUCUGAUUAGCUAGAUGGUGAGGUAACGGCUCACCAUGGCAAUGAUCAGUAGGGGUUCUGAGAGGAUGAUCCCCCACACUGGUACUGAGACACGGACCAGACUCCUACGGGAGGCAGCAGUAGGGAAUAUUGGUCAAUGGGCGAGAGCCUGAACCAGCCAUGCCGCGUGC